rnacentral:lncRNA from 10 species
CCUCCUGCUCUUUGCUCCGUGAGAAAGAUCCACCUACGACCUCAGGUCCUCAGACCGACUAGCCCAAGAAACAUCUCACCAAUUUCAAAUCUGACCUUUGCAAGAGGGUCCGAGACAUUUGCAUCAUCAUUCAGUGAGACCUGUAAACACAGCAUCUGCCUUUGACCACAUCCAUCUGGAAGAACCUGAGAGAUAAUCCAUUUUAUGAAAUUUUCCCUACCCUGAAAUGGGAGAAUGGAACCAAGUUCUGGAGAAGCUCCUGGGCUGCUAGAACUGGGUGCUGGAGAAACCAGGUAUGCUGAAGGAGGUUGAUGAAACAAACACACUGUAAUCAGAAAGAGAAUCCCCUUCCUCCUGCAGUAUUCCACCAAUAACUUCUACUGACAAAGCUUAACAUUAUGUCAGCUGACUUAGAAGAAAUAUUUGCAGGGUCCAGCUGCAUUAUCCACAGAAUAGUGAAUGAAGGAUGGAGUUGGAGCUGAAAGAAAAUAAGCUGACAACUGGCACAGUAAAGUAUUUGGCUCCACAGUCUCUACGUAUACCCUUCUAUACAUAUUUACACUUCUGUGCAACAAUGAAACAACUCUAUAUUUCACCUAAAAAGAUACAGCUGUCUUAAAAUGUAAAGAAGUCCUCAGCUUUGCUUUACAGUGAGGAGAUGCACAGUCUCAGUUGUCAUUAUUUUCAUCAUUGGCUAUAUAUUAAAUAUUUCUAAAAUCCUGUCACAGUCUCUGUUACCUAAAAAUAAAUUUAUAAAAUUAACCCACAAGAACUUAUAUGUAAAAUAAAAAUAAGAAGAAGAAAAUGUUAGCUUAUAUGAGGGGUCUUCAAAAAGUUCACGGAAAAUGUGUAUUUUUUAUAUAUAUAAAAAUAGAUGUGUGGAUUUCAAACAUUUUCGGCACAAAAGUAAACUCGUGCUAACUUGUUAUAACAUGCCUGAACAGAAUCUAAUUUGAAGCACUGAGAAGGAUAAGGCAUCCAUUUGAAAAGGACUCCUAUAUUGCAACAUGAAUUCUGCUAAAAUUGAAGCAAGAACAAACAUCAAAUUUAUGAUGAAGUUUGGGUAGAAGAACGAUGAAAUUAGUGACGCUUUAUAAAAAGUUUAUUGGGACAAUACCCCAAAUGAAUCAGCAGUUUAAAAAUGGAUA